AUGAUUCAGUUUUACAAAAUCAAUCGGUUGUCUUUUGGGCUAAAUAAUGAAAAACUAUCGCCAACAGAAUGUGAUACAACGCCAAGUCAACCGGCCCAUAGGAUGGUAGUUAAUUAACAUGUCAAACUUCCCCAGUCGCAGGUUGAGGCUGAUCUCGCCAAUGAAGGAGCGGUAGACCAAUUGGAGCUCCGCCUUCUUGGCUAAAGCAAGAUUAAGAAUUAAACAUGUGUAAUAGAAGUAUCAGGAAUUCAGAAUGGUAGUUGGCGCAUAUGGAAUGGAUUUGAUGGCCGAAAAUUGUGUACCCUGUGAAGAAUUAAUUACUGGUUUUAAGUUUUAACUGCAUACUGUUAUCAUUUCAGGGAAAGGUGAUCUUCAGAAGAGCUGAGUAAGGCUGCAGCAGAAGGUUCAUUUUCCCUUUUGUGAGGUGCCAUAACUUUCUGGUGUCUGUUGAAGGACAAAGAUUAUAAAUGACAUAUAUUGCAGGAAAAUGACA